rnacentral:rRNA from 1 species
GGACCAAGGAGUCCAGCAUGUGCGCGAGUCAUUGGGGUCAUCGAAUCCUAAAGGCGAAAAUAAUUUGAACGAGAGCCUUGUGCUCAACAAGGGAAGAUGGGUGAGGAAACUCACCUCGCACUCCCGGGGUGUCUCAUUCUCAUUGCGAGAAGAGGCGCACCUAGAGCGUACAUGCUGGGACCC